rnacentral:rRNA from 1 species
GACGUAGGGCGCGAGCGUUGUCCGGAUUUAUUGGGCGUAAAGAGCUCGUAGGCGGCUUGUCACGUCGGGUGUGAAAGCCCGGGGCUUAACCCCGGGUCUGCAUUCGAUACGGGCUAGCUAGAGUGUGGUAGGGGGAGAUCGGAAUUCCUGGUGUAGCGGUGAAAUGCGCAGAUAUCAGGAGGAACACCGGUGGCGAAGGCGGAUCUCUGGGCCAUUACUGACGCUGAGACACGAAAGCGUGGGUAGCAAACAGG